ensembl:lncRNA
ACACCACCGUUACCCCCUACGAGACCACCGUAACUCCCUACGAGACCACCGUAACCCCCUACGAGAACACCAUAAGCAGCUACGAGACCACCGUAAGCACCUACGGAGGCCCCGUAAGGUCAGGUUCGCGUGCUAUCAGGCAUCAAACUACAGCGUGAACGAGUGAUUCUUCAGCAGCACUCGUUCCAGAACAUCAUGCCUAAUAGGCUAGUACAGGACAGAUUCUCCAGUAUAACAACAACUGACUGAAAAUGAAAGCAUCCGGACAACACACCUGGACAAAGAGCAUGCUGCAGCAGGGGAGCAAGGGACUCGGGCACCUACAGUAGUGGAUGUGCUACAGUGGAUACAGAUUCCCCUACUGGAAAAACCCUUGGACUGCCAGAUUAGCAUCAGCAUGGCUUUGAACCACUCAAAAGAAGAGGCCCGGACUGUAAACAAAAGCCAGGCCAUCAAAGAGCAGCGAGAUGGAGAGAGGGAGGGACUCUAAGGCUGACACAGAACAAUAUGGAUGACAUCGGGAGCCCUGCUUGAACUUAAUGCCGUUGCAGUUUACGC